GUCUUCAUAGUGUAGUGGUCAUCACGCUUUCUUCACAGCUUGUCUCUGUUCGGAAGAGGUCCGCGGUUCGACCCCGCGUGAGGACA
rnacentral:tRNA from 1 species